rnacentral:rRNA from 1 species
AAUGAACGCUGGCGGCGCGCCUAAUACAUGCAAGUCGAGCGAGAAGACGUAGCAAUACGUUUGUAAAGCGGCGAACGGGUGAGGAAUACAUGGGUAACCUACCCUCGAGUGGGGAAUAACUAGCCGAAAGGUUAGCUAAUACCGCGUACGCUCCUUGGACUUCGGUUCAGGGAGGAAAGCGAUACCGUGGGUAUCGCGCUCUUGGUUGGGCUCAUGUCCCAUCAGCUUGUUGGUGAGGAACGGCUCACCAAGGCUUCGACGGGUAGCUGGUCUGAGAGGACGAUCAGCCACACUGGCACUGCGACACGGGCCAGACUCCUACGGGAGGCAGCAGUAAGGAAUAUUGCGCAAUGGGCGAAAGCCUGACGCAGCGACGCCGC